rnacentral:rRNA from 1 species
AUGCCGGCUCCCAGUGCUCCCUCCUCUUCCUACGCGGCGGCCCUUGCCCUCCUCUCUCUUCGGUCCCCUUCGCGCCUCCUCGCGGCUAUCACAGCCAAGGAGCCCGAGCUCGGCGGCGACGGAUCGGAAGGCAGCGUCGGUGCUGGAUCUGGGAGUGGAGGAGCCGCCGCCGUCUCCACUCGCCGGGAACCGGCCAGAUCCGCCCCACGAGCUUCACAGGUGCCACCCCUUCCGCCACCAGCCACCUUCCAUGACAAGCAAUCAAAGGAGCUCCGCCUCCCUCUUCUUCUUCCCCACCCCCACUGGCGACGGAGGCGAGGUGAAAAUUCCCCACCAACCGGAGCGCUUGCCUACCGAUGGAGGUCUCCGUCUGCCAUCUCCCGCCUUGACGGCGCCGUCCCGCCGCGGCGGAGGGUCCCUGUGGCGGCUGCUCCCUUUGGCCCAGCCCGCCUCCCGAGCGGUCUCCGCCAAGUGGAAUGGAAGGUGAAGAAGGUACGUGGCGUGGACGGCGACCGAGGAGGCGGUGUACGAGCUGCGGUAGGCCGCGCUGGUGGAGGACCUGUAGGGGCGGCGGGUGCGGGAGGCCGAGGCGGGCAGGUGUCGCCAAUGGCGGGACGAGCAACUUGA